GAGUGAAGAGGGAAGAGCUCAUCAUUGGAAUCUGGCAGUGUUUCACUGUCCGAGUUGUAGAUGAGGAGUAGUCCGUCUGGACUGCAUGGCGUCCAAGUACAAUAGGCCGUCAGUGGGACAUCAUAGAGGGUGACAAUCCCGUCCUUGACGCCAAUGUGCAAGUCUAUUACGAUGGCUAUCUCAGAGAGUCGAGCAGUUUGGGAUUUGCUGCUUAAACAUGGGAGGUAGAUUCCUUCUAAAUACAUGCUAGGACCCGAAAGAUGGUGAACUAUGCCUGGACAAAGCGAAGCCAAAGGAAACUCUGGUGGAGGCUUGUAGCGAUUCUGACGUGCAAAUCGAUCGUCUGAUCUG
rnacentral:rRNA from 1 species